CAACCCUCAAGCACUGCUUGGUGUUGGGCUCCCCGCGGCGGCUCGUACCGCCCCGGGGGCCCGAAAAUCAGUGGCGGUCCCGCCAGGACCCCGAGCGCAGUAACUCAACCUCGCUCGCGGCGUCCCGGCGCGGAACCUGCCGUAAAACCCCCAUCUUUUUAAGAA
rnacentral:misc_RNA from 1 species